ACUUGAAUUGAAGAGUUUGAUCAUGGCUCAGAUUGAACGCUGGCGGCAGGCUUAACACAUGCAAGUCGAACGGUAGCAGGAGAAAGCUUGCUUUCUUGCUGAC
rnacentral:rRNA from 1 species